rnacentral:rRNA from 1 species
GAGUUUGAUCMUGGCUCAGAUUGAACGCUGGCGGUAGGCUUAACACAUGCAAGUCGUGCGAGAAAGUAUCUUCGGAUAUGAGUAGAGCGGCGGACGGGUGAGUAACGCGUAGGAAUCUACCUAGUAGAAGGGGAUAGCCCGGGGAAACCCGGAUUAAUACCGUAUACCUCCUUCGGGAGAAAGAAGGCCUCUCUUUGAAGCUUUCGCUAUUAGAUGAGCCUGCGUAAGAUUAGCUUGUUGGUGAGGUAAAGGCUCACCAAGGCGACGAUCUUUAGCUGGUCUGAGAGGACGAUCAGCCACAUUGGGACUGAGACACGGCCCAGACUCCUACGGGAGGCAGCAGUGGGGAAUAUUGGACAAUGGGCGAAAGCCUGAUCCAGCCAUACCGCGUGUGUGAAGAAGGCCUUCGGGUUGUAAAGCACUUUAAGCAGGGAGAAAAAGUUAUAAGUUAAUACCUUAUAACCGUGAUGUUACCUGCAGAAUAAGCACCGGCUAAUUCCGUGCCAGCAGCCGCGGUAAUACGGAAGGUGCAAGCGUUAAUCGGAAUUACUGGGCGUAAAGCGCGCGUAGGUGGUUUGUUAAGUUGGAUGUGAAAGCCCUGGGCUCACCUAGAACUGCAUCCAAAACUAACUCACUAGAGUAC